rnacentral:misc_RNA from 1 species
GAUGAAGAACGCAGCAAAAUGCGAUAAGUAAUGUGAAUUGCAGAAUUCAGUGAAUCAUCGAAUCUUUGAACGCACAUUGCGCCCGCUGGUAUUCCGGCGGGCAUGCCUGUUCGAGCGUCACUUCAACCCUCAAGCCCCCGGGUUUGGUGUUGGGGAUCGGCUCUGCCCUUCUGGGCGGUGCCGCCCCCGAAAUACAUUGGCGGUCUCGCUGCAGCCUCCAUUGCGUAGUAGCUAACACCUCGCAACUGGAACGCGGCGCGGCCAUGCCGUAAAACCCCAACUUCUGAAUGUUGACCUCGGAUCAGGUAGGAAUACCCGCUGAACUUAAGCAUAUCAAUAAGCGGAGGA